AAACUCAAGGGCGGACCUGACCGGCGAGAGGGAGCCCCCGCCCCUGGCCGUGACGACUGCGGACCCGCCGAGCCCCGCUCCCGCCGCGGCCCGGGGUGCGGGCGGGCGGCCCCUCGGCGGGAGCCGGCCAGGAUGCUGGGGAGAUGAGCAAUGGAUGAUUUUGGCUUCCUCUGAAUAACUCCUGAGAGGGCAUGUGUAGUUCCUCUGUGGGAGGACAUUGUCACCUGUGUCAACACCUUUGAGGCUUUAGCUAAACUUGUGGGAGGUUAUAAACUCCAUGGAAGUUCCCUAAUAGUGUCCCAUAACUGACCAUUGUCUUGAUACACACUGGGUUCAUAGGAAAGAUACGGCAUGUGGAAGACACUGUGCAUGAGGUGAAUGAGGAGUUCUUCCAGCUCUCUUCUCCAGCCCUGGAGCUCCAGAAAGAGGAGGAUGAGCCAGACCCACUGCCCCCAGGUGAAGGCAGCACAUUUGUGGUGGCUCCCAGCAUCUCCCCUUGUGAGUGGCAGGAAGAUAAACUUCACCCACUGGAGACAAGUGGCCCAGACGGAGAGAAGCUGGGACCCUGGAUCCUGAAGAGCCACCGGGCCCUGGAGCUGGAGGUGAGGAGAGUCCACCUGGCUCAGAGGAUUGAAGACCUGGAGUGGGAGCUGUCCUUGCUCCUUCAGGCGGCCAACAGCAGUUCAAGCAGGAGGGAGCUGGCCCAGCCAACACAGCAGCCUAAGGGGCACUGAGUCACAUCAGAUGCUGCAUGGUGGCCACCUCCAGGAGGUGCCUUCUCACCGAGAACAUGAACGGGUUCCCCUGGUAGGAAGGAGUGGGCAUCUGGGGCCCGGAGUGUGUGCUGGUUUUACGACGUGCUCCUACAGGGAAACACCUGGAUUUCUUUCAGAGCCUGGACCUCAGCUUGUGCUCAAUUCUGCCUUGAACUUUCUGGGGUGAGGGAAAAUAAACUGACAUGGGUUGACAAAA